rnacentral:lncRNA from 10 species
GAAAACUUAAGUGCAUACAAAAUCCAGUACACACAUGUUUAUGGCAGCUUAGUUCAUAAUUAUUAAAAACCUAAUGUCCUUUAACCAGUGAAUGCGUACACAAAUUGUGGUGUGGCCAUACAAUGGAAUACUACUUACUCAGCAACAAAAAAGAAUCAAUGCUAAUACAACAUGAAUGAAUCUCAAAAUGUAUUCAGAUCCAAGAGGCCACAUACUGUAUACAACACCAUCUAUAAGCCAGGAAACAGAUUAGCGGUGGCCGGGAGUCAGGGGAAGCGGGGGGAAAUGACCACAAAGGGGCAGGAUGAGUUUAGAGUGAUGAAAUUGUUCUAUAUCUUGACUGGGGAGGUGACUACAUGACUAUACGUAUUUUUUUAAACACCAGGCUGGGCGUGGUGGCUCAUGCCUAUAAUCCCAGCACCUUGGGAGGCCAAGGCCGGUGGAUUGCUUGAGCCCAGGCGUUCCAGACCAGCCUGGGCAACGUGCUGAAAUCCUGUCUCUACAAAAAAAAUCCACAAAAAUUAGCUGGGUGUGGUGGCAUGUGCUUGUAGUCUCAGCUACUCAAGAGGCUGAGAUGGGAAGAUGGCUUGAGCCCGGGAGGCAGAGGGUAUAGUGAGUUGAGAUCGUGCCACUGCAUUCCAGCCUGGGUGACAGAGUGAGAUUAUGUCUCAAAAAGUAAUAAUAAUAUAAAUUUUUUUAAACUUCCAAAUUGUACAUCAAAGAGGAAAUGUUAUAAUAUGUAAAAUUUAAAAGUUAUUAAAAAUGGAAAAAGAUUACUUUAUGGUAUGAACCUUCCCACUACCUGACCCCUUCUGCAAAAACGAGCCCAACAUGAACCAUCCACUAGACCAUCAGAGCAAAACUGUUAAGACUUUUGCAAGAAAACACACACAGACUCACAGACACACACACACAGAAACACACACAGACACACAGACAUACACACACAGACACACACACAGACACAGAGACACACACACAGACACAGACACACACAGACACAGAGACAGAGACACACACACAGAGACACACAGACACACACACACAUAGACACAGUGUUGCCCCAUCCUGGAUAGGCAGGAAUUCACACACAGACACAUACAGACACACACAGAGACACAGAGACAAACAGACACACACACAGACACAUACAGACACACACAGAGACACAGAGACAAACAGACACACACAGAGACAGACAGACACACACAGACACACAGAGACACACACAUAGACGCAGACACACAGACACAGUGUUGCCCCAUCCUGGAUAGGCAGGAAUUCACACACAGACACACACACACAGAACACAGAAUUUUAGGUAGACAAGGAUUUCUCGAACAGGCUACAAAAAGCACUAGCCGUAAAAUACAACUUUAAUAAAUUGAUCUUCAUCA